CUUGGGGUGGGGGGAGCUUCAGCCCAGAUUGCGAGAGGGUGCAGGCCAGACCGAGGGACCCUACCGGUGCACA
rnacentral:pre_miRNA from 1 species